UAUGAGGGUGCGGGUAAGAUAAGAGGAACGAAGUUCCCUAAUGACACAAAUUCUCUUCUUCGACUCCUCUACACUUGCUCCAGGAACAACAAUAAUAGCGAGCAACCCUACGCCAUCUUUGUGCCAUUAUAAUAUAGAUUUUUCUAGUUAAUUAGGAGCGUCGUUUUGUAAAUAGUAAUGGCUAAUUUAACUUAAAAAAGAAAAAAAUUUCGGAAUAAUCAUCAAAAAAUAUCUAAAUCCGUCGAAUGUCGACACGUUUCGUUGUUUUUCAAAAGAUAAAGGAAGCUGGACACGGUUUUAAAACAGAAAAAUCCAGUAGAUUGUGUUUGACAACAAUCUAGGAUAAGAAAAAAUACCGAAGUCGACAUUCAAUCAAGGAAGUUCAUUCCGAUAACACAAUAACUUGCCGAGAAGAGAAUCCAAUCUCUUUCUCUCGAUGGGAUGUGGAAGGAUAAGAUAAAUUGUUUACAGAAAGAUUAAUUUUAAGAUAAGAAAGAUCUAAGCGAGUAUCUUCUCUAUACAAGUUUUGGACGACAGACGACUCGGAGACGACGAAGAAGACAGAAAAGGGAGAAAAGCGUCGAAUGGCGUGAGUAGCAAACAUCAACAAUCCACGAGAAAAUCGAUAACGAGAAAAAACUCGACGUCAUCAACUGUGUCGUCCCGACAUCUUGGAAUUGUAAUUGACCACUUCACACUAUCCAAUAAAAUGAAACAUUAUUCUAAUAAAACAGAUUAUCUUUGAUAUAUAUUCUACCUCUUAAACAACUCUAAUUUUAUCGAUGUAUCUAAAUAAA